rnacentral:lncRNA from 10 species
UAAAAACGUGGUGGUACAGAAACAAAAUGAGAAGAGACCCUGAAGAUCCGUAGCCUUUCAGAUAACCUACACUGUACCAGACAGUAUUAUUACUGAAAGACUGUCAGUAAUUCCCUACUCUGUGUACCUUACAGAUCUCUGGCAAGAAAGCAUAUUCACCUGAGGGUGUAGGACCUUAGAGGACAAAAAGUGACGAGGAAGUGCCCGUUCUGAAGCAAAGGAAACCAGAAAUCUAGGCCUUCUUCAAAGUCUAGGCCUGUGUUUUGACAUUAAAUAAUUUGCCCAAUCUCCUCUGCAGUUGUGAUCUAACUCUGACCCUACUUCGUCUCUGAAAACGGAAACAGACACAUGGCCUUCACAUUAACUCAUCACUUCCUCACCAACUGACCCAGAGCAACUUCCAGUCCUGCAAGCUCUACUCAUGGUAAGUCCCCCAUUUUUUUUUUUCUUUCUUUCUUUUAAACAAUAUUUUUACUGUACUUUUUCUAUGUUUAGAUACACAAAUACUUACCAUUGUGUUCCAAUUGCCCAAAAUAUUCAGUAACUUGCUAUACAGGUUGGUAGAGUAAGAGCAAUGGGCUAUACGAUAUAGCCUAGGAAUGUAGCGUAGUAGUCUAGACCAUCUAGGUUUAAGUACAUUCUAGGAUGGUCUCACAAUGACAAAAUCACCUAAAGGACACAUCUCAGUACAUUUUCCUAGGCAUUAAGUGAUGCAAAAUAGUACAAAACACUAGUUUAUUCUUAAGAUGAUCAUCGGAAAGGUUUAAAUGCAUUUUACAAAUUCUGUAUAACUAAAGCUCCCACCAUUUCUGUAAAAAGUUACAUUUAGAUGAGUAGAAGCUAUUCUACUAUCAGCUACUGAAGAGAUAAGUAGAAAGAUAUUGUUGCCUAGUGGCAUACAAUGCAGGCUUAUUUUUUGUGUGUGUGAAAGAUUACUCUGAAAGAGCAUGAGGAAUAUGCCUAAUUUUCUCUCAACUUUCCAGUAUAUAAUCCCGAUCACACUUAUUUAAAGUCAUUCGUGACUUUAAAUUGCAUUUUCAUAAUUUACCAAAUUUUAGCUACUACUACUUUAAGAAUUUCUGUCUUGAAAAAACUUAAGAUUCAACAUGGGAAAAAGAAAAAAGGAAAACAUACCUAAGAUACUAGGUUUUAGAACAACUAUGUACUACUACAAGUAUCUUUU